UUACAUGAAGCACAAAGACAGCACAACUGU
rnacentral:piRNA from 1 species